rnacentral:rRNA from 1 species
AGAUUAUGCGACUGCUCCUGAUGUUAGCGGCGGACGGGUGAGUAACACGUGGGUAACCUGCCUGUAAGACUGGGAUAACUCCGGGAAACCGGGGCUAAUACCGGAUGGUUGUUUGAACCGCAUGGUUCAGACAUAAAAGGUGGCUUCGGCUACCACUUACAGAUGGACCCGCGGCGCAUUAGCUAGUUGGUGAGGUAACGGCUCACCAAGGCGACGAUGCGUAGCCGACCUGAGAGGGUGAUCGGCCACACUGGGACUGAGACACGGCCCAGACUCCUACGGGAGGCAGCAGUAGGGAAUCUUCCGCAAUGGACGAAAGUCUGACGGAGCAACGCCGCGUGAGUGAUGAAGGUUUUCGGAUCGUAAAGCUCUGUUGUUAGGGAAGAACAAGUGCCGUUCAAAUAGGGCGGCACCUUGACGGUACCUAACCAGAAAGCCACGGCUAACUACGUGUCAGCAGCCGCGGUAAUACGUAGGUGGCAAGCGUUGUCCGGAAUUAUUGGGCGUAAAGGGCUCGCAGGCGGUUUCUUAACCUCCCC